GUGUAAUCGAUGAUAUGGACUUGCGUGAACAAUCAUCAACAAGCAAAAGGCUUCGUGCUCCAACCCCAAAUCAUACAACAACUGAAAAAGAAGAUUAUGAGCCUUGGGAGCACUACACAUAAAUGCAGUUGAAAACGCCU